UAGCACCUAAAAGCGUUUUCCUGCUAGCCCAAUAAAUGCUCUUGAAAAUCGUUGAUGUGUGCCAGACAAAACUUCUCGCAACAGCAAAGUGAUCGGAGUUCCAUUCAUU
rnacentral:snoRNA from 1 species